rnacentral:rRNA from 1 species
GAUGAACGCUAGCGGCAGGCCUAAUACAUGCAAGUCGAGGGGCAGCGCGGUAGCAAUACUGGCGGCGACCGGCGCACGGGUGCGUAACACGUAUGCAACCUACCUUCAACUGGAGGAUAGCCCGGGGAAACUCGGAUUAAUACUCCAUAACACAGGGAUCCCGCAUGGGAAUAUUGUUAAAGCUACGGCGGUUGAAGAUGGGCAUGCGUUCGAUUAGCUAGCUGGUGUAGGUAACGGCUCACCAAGGCUACGAUCGAUAGGGGGUCUGAGAGGAUGAUCCCCCACACUGGUACUGAGAUACGGACCAGACUCCUACGGGAGGCAGCAGUAGGGAAUAUUGGUCAAUGGGCGCAAGCCUGAACCAGCCAUGCCGCGUGCAGGAAGAAGGCCCUCUGGGUUGUAAACUGCUUUUGAUAGGGAACAAAUGCCACUUGCGAGUGGAGCUGAGUGUACCUAUAGAAUAAGCACCGGCUAACUCCGUGCCAGCAGCCG